rnacentral:rRNA from 1 species
CGACGAGUGGCGGACGGGUGAGUAAUACUUAGGAAUCUGCCCAGUAGUGGGGGACAACUCGGGGAAACUCGAGCUAAUACCGCAUACGCCCUAAGGGGGAAAGCGGGGGAUCUUCGGACCUCGCGCUAUUGGAUGAGCCUAAGUCGGAUUAGCUUGUAGGUAGGGUAACGGCCUACCUAGGCAACGAUCCGUAGCUGGUCUGAGAGGACGAUCAGCCACACUGGGACUGAGACACGGCCCAG